rnacentral:rRNA from 1 species
UGGGGAAUUUUGGACAAUGGGCGAAAGCCUGAUCCAGCAAUGCCGCGUGUGUGAAGAAGGCCUUCGGGUUGUAAAGCACUUUUGUCCGGAAAGAAAUCCUUGGCUCUAAUACAGUCGGGGGAUGACGGUACCGGAAGAAUAAGCACCGGCUAACUACGUGCCAGCAGCCGCGGUAAUACGUAGGGUGCAAGCGUUAAUCGGAAUUACUGGGCGUAAAGCGUGCGCAGGCGGUUUGCUAAGACCGAUGUGAAAUCCCCGGGCUCAACCUGGGAACUGCAUUGGUGACUGGCAGGCUAGAGUAUGGCAGAGGGGGGUAGAAUUCCACGUGUAGCAGUGAAAUGCGUAGAGAUGUGGAGGAAUACCGAUGGCGAAGGCAGCCCCCUGGGCCAAUACUGACGCUCAUGCACGAAAAGCGUGGGGAGCAAAACAGGAUUAGAUACCCCUGGUAGUCCACGCCCUAAACGAUGUCAACUAGUUGUUGGGGAUUCAUUUCCUUAGUAACGUAGCUAACGCGUGAAGUUGACCGCCUGGGGAGUACGUCGCAAGAUU